rnacentral:rRNA from 1 species
CCUACGGGUGGCAGCAGUGAGGAAUAUUGGUCAAUGGACGAGAGUCUGAACCAGCCAAGUAGCGUGAAGGAUGACUGCCCUAUGGGUUGUAAACUUCUUUUAUAUGGGAAUAAAAUGUUCCACGUGUGGGAUUUUGUAUGUACCAUAUGAAUAAGGAUCGGCUAACUCCGUGCCAGCAGCCGCGGUAAUACGGAGGAUCCGAGCGUUAUCCGGAUUUAUUGGGUUUAAAGGGAGCGUAGGUGGAUUGUUAAGUCAGUUGUGAAAGUUUGCGGCUCAACCGUAAAAUUGCAGUUGAAACUGGCAGUCUUGAGUACAGUAGAGGUGGGCGGAAUUCGUGGUGUAGCGGUGAAAUGCUUAGAUAUCACGAAGAACUCCGAUUGCGAAGGCAGUUCACUGGACUGCAACUGACACUGAGGCUCGAAAGUGUGGGUAUCAAACAGGAUUAGAUAGCCGAGUAGUC